CGCGUAGGCGGGGAGGCAAGUCGGGUGUGAAAGCCCUCGGCCCAACCGAGGAACUGCGCCCGAAACUGCUUCUCUUGAGUCCCGGAGAGGAAGGUGGAAUUCCCGGUGUAGCGGUGAAAUGUGUAGAGAUCGGGAGGAACACCGGUGGCGAAGGCGGCCUUCUGGACGGUGACUGACGCUGAGGCGCGAAAGCGUGGGGAGCAAACG
rnacentral:rRNA from 1 species